GUCACAAGUCACAACUAUAUAAACUCCAAACACACGUGUGAACCAUCAUUCAUACAUCAUACAUCCAAAACUUGUACUAUAAAAAAGAAGUAAACAAUAAAAAAAUAUAUGUAAAUAAAAUAAUUAGUAACAUACAUAAGACCAAUGUAGCUAAAGACAUCAUAGCUAUACGUAUGUUACGUUUUGUGUGAACCGGUUUUUGGGUUUUGAAGUUCGUUGUUUGAAGGCAUAAAAACGGUUUGUUGGGGUGGGUAGAGUUGUAUCCACAGGUUCCGUUUAAGGAUUUGCAAGAUUUGCAGGUGGUGAAGUAAGAAUCUUGUUGUUGAUAUUCGACUUGGAUUCCGAAUCUUAGGAAGCUGUCGAGGAAACCUAGGAUGUCUGGUUGACAGCCUUCAUGGGUGAGUUGUGGAGGAGGAUGAGAUCCACAAGAGUUGAUGAGGUGAAGGGGUGUUUUGGUAAUUUUACAAAGGUAUGGGCAGUGGGUGCAGUUAGGUAAGGUGGUGGUGGUGGUGCAUUUAGUGGUGGUGGGGGUGGGGGUGGGGUGGGGGAAGAGGGAGAGGGUGGGGGUGGUGGGGUCGUAGGUGAGGAGAGAGAAGUGGUGGUUGUUGAUGGUGAUGGUGGCGGAGAGUGGUGGUGGGUGGCAUGUGAUUUGGAAGGAUGGGUGGCCGGAGCCAGGGGUGGUAGAGAAAGGUGGUGGCAUUAUUUGUGGUCAGAGUGUGGAGAUCUGAAGAAUCUUUUGGGUUU
rnacentral:lncRNA from 1 species